rnacentral:rRNA from 1 species
UACGUAGGGUGCAAGCGUUGUCCGGAAUUAUUGGGCGUAAAGAGCUCGUAGGCGGUUUGUCGCGUCGGCUGUGAAAACUUGGGGCUCAACCCCAAGCCUGCAGUCGAUACGGGCAGACUAGAGUGUGGUAGGGGAGACUGGAAUUCCUGGUGUAGCGGUGAAAUGCGCAGAUAUCAGGAGGAACACCGGUGGCGAAGGCGGGUCUCUGGGCCAUAACUGACGCUGAGGAGCGAAAGCGUGGGGAGCAAACAGG